GAAUUAAGGAGCAGAUCGUAAAACAAAAUACAUCAAACAUAUAAAGCAUCCAAGUAGGAGGCUUUGGAUCUCCAUGAACAGUUGGACACAUCAGCCAUAGCAGAGCAGUACUGGGCAAUUGGAUAUAUGCAGAGAAAUGGGGGCAGGCAUCCAAGAGGCCUUGCUCAAGAAGGUGGUCGGGGUCAGCAAGAACCAAGCAUGGGUCACAGAUGGCAUCUGAGAAGGCAAAAUAUUGCUUCAGUAUACUGAUUCUAAGCAGGUAGAUGGCUGACCACAAAGAGAUACUUGGAGGAAGUGUGAGCCUAAUAGACCAUUCUAACUGUUCUUUUACCAUGUGAUGCCUUCUGCCAUGCGAGAAAGCCCUCACCAGAUGCAAUCCCUCAGUCUUGAAUUUUCCAGCCUCCAGAAUCAUGAGACAAAUUUAUAUUAUUUAUAAAUUACCCAGUCUGUGGUAUUCUGUUAUGGCAACAGAAAACAGACUAAGACACCAAUCUAUUGAAGCCUAAUAAAGUAAAAACUUCUGUAUUGAAAAUAAAAUAUCUUGGGGGGAGUUUGUUUAAUAAAAAUGGAGCUAUAAUUAUUGUUGUAGCUAUAAAUUAUUACCAAGAGUCCUCUAGCUAAUUUGAAGGCUUUAAUGUGUCUAUAGUUAGAAAUGAGAAAUUUACUGCAAUAAACUACGUAGUAUCUGUUGCUCUUUGAAAACAAAGAAAUCUGUUGUAUGGCAGCCGUAUAGCCCUGGAGCAUCCUGAUGAACUGUAAACAAUCCAGGCUCUACUGUGUGUGGGGUAAAAAAAAAAAAAAAAAAAUUAGCUGAUGUUUAAUAUAGAAUUGUAUUCUAGCCGUGUAACCAAAGGCUUUAAAAGCACCUUUUCCUUCUCUUUCAGAGGCUGGUAUUAAUAAAAUUACUUGGUAAUUUGGCAGUUGUAAAUUGUGACCCUCUGUCAGUGGCUAGGUCACAGAUGUCUCCCUCCUUUCCUUUUUAAACACUGAUGGGUUCAACACAGUAAACAUUGACUUCAUAAAUAAGCAGAGUCAGAGUACUAGGUUCUAGUCACUUCCAUAAUGGAAAGUAAGCAGAGCAAUUUAAUAGUGGGUGUGGGAAGUGGAAGGAGGGGGAACCAGGAUCAUAGUCAAGCAAAUAAUGGAAUGAAUACCCUAUUUAAGUAUGCCAGACAUACUCGUGUAAAAGAAGCUUGUGGGUCACCAGAUACUACAGGAAUGGCAUGCUGGGUUGAUCCCAUAAUUAAGGGAGAAGACAUAAGUCAGGAGCAUCUCAGACCAAAUGUCUUGCGCUACUAUACACUAUAAUUAUUACUCUUAUGAGUCUUACUUCAAUAGGCACUUUGCACUGAUGAUAUGAAAUGCCUUCUCCUUUCAGUAUCAAAAGUUAAAGAGUAAAGUGUAUGGAAGAUUGGAGAGUCAGCUAAUA
rnacentral:lncRNA from 1 species